rnacentral:lncRNA from 1 species
CGAACUGAAUCAAAAGAAGAAGAAAAGAGGUUUUAUAGAGAAAGGGAAAAACGUCAGAAGAGAGAAAGAAGAAAAGAGAAAAAAAACUUCAAAACAAGGGGAGAAAUAUUUUUGGGAAAAAAAAUAAAAAUUGUUUAAUUCCAAAAAUAAAAUCCUACUAGCAACCCAACUUCCCACUAACCAACCACAAUCCCAUAGAAUCUUACCCACUAACCUCAUUCAACUACCACAGACUUUCAGUCCCACCAAACCUCUUAUCAGCC